GGAGAAGGGCUGUAGCUUAAUGGUAGAACAUCUGCCUUGCAAGCAGAAGAUCCUAUGUUAGACCCCCAAUGGCCUCUCCA